rnacentral:rRNA from 1 species
ACCCUGAGUGCUUUGUUUUCGCAAGGCUUUUGUCAAGAAUAAAAAUCUUGGCGAAUAAGUGGUGGGUAAGACUGGUGCCAGCAGCCGCGGUAACACCAGCGCCACGAGUGGGGAUCAUGUUUAUUGGGCCUAAAGCGUCCGUAGCCGGUUUGAUAAAUCUUUUGUGAAAUUGUCGUGCUUAACAUGACAGCGUGCAAAAGACACUAUUUAACUUGGAACUGGGAGGAGUCAGAGGUAUUCUAGGGGGAGCGGUAAAAUGUUAUAAUCUCUAGAGGACCACCUGUAGCGAAGGCGUCUGACUAGAACAGCUUCGACGGUGAGGGACGAAAGCCAGGGGAGCAAAACGGAUUAGAUACAGCUUUUUACGUUCGUAAAUGCUACCUGGGAAAAAUUCCAGCGAGUACAAUCUUUUUCUUCGAAAAAAUUGUACGCACAUGCAAUGUUGUUUUUGCUAUCAAUCAUACUAUAACAUUAAUGUGAAAAUAUCGUAGAAAGUUGCUAAUUACCCGAGUAGUCCUGGCUGUAAACGCUGCGAGCAAGGUGUUGCGUAUCUUUCGUGGAUGCGCAGUAUCGAAAUGAAGAUGUUAAGCUCGCCGCCUG